GGACUGGUUGACAUAUUUCACCACCCUGUGCAGAAAUCCUCCAACUGCAAGCUUUUAAAAGAAAUCCUGCAAGACAUGAGGUGCUUUGCAGACCUUUGAAGGAAUGUUUCCCCUACAGGUACAGAGCAGCCAUGGAUGCACACAACAUCAACACUGCACCCACAAUAAGAGCAACGGCCCCACAUCUCAGGAGGCGACUGACUGCAGCAGAGGUCGGCGUGCUGGAC